rnacentral:tRNA from 1 species
GCUCUAAUAUUAUAAGUAAGUAUAUCAUCUUUCCAAGUUGAAGGUUCAUUUUUAAUGAUUAGCGUA